rnacentral:rRNA from 1 species
AUGGCGGCAGGUGGAGCUUCCCUUCUUGCUGCCGUUGCUGUUUUCGCCAUGCUGAUUAUGUCGUCCCUGGGGAAUCCGAAGCCUUUAUGCAGUGACUGUGGGACGUUGUGCAGUACCAAGUGCAACGAGGAGGCUAAUACCUCCUGCAGCAGUAACUGUUACAACCCUCGGGAGGAAUGCCAGAGGCAGGUUUCCGAGGGGUGCACCAGAGAUGGUACCUGCUGCAGUAGCUAUGGCACGUGCACUUGUGACUGCAACGCCAUAGCUCAAGAACGUUGCAGCAGCGUCACCGACGGCUCUGUACGUUGUGAAUCUUGCAAGCGUGCCAUGUUCGACCAGUGCAAUCCCAGUUGUGUUAGCGACUGCAACACCAACUGCAAGAAGAAAGGGUGCAACACAUAG